rnacentral:lncRNA from 1 species
AGACACAAAUUCAAAUAAUACAAGAUUUAUAUUACAAGCCAGGGGCCUCGAGGGCUCGAAUACAUCAGCUCGAAUACAAACGAGUCAGCAAGAGCAACAAUAUCUGAGUACACACAUAAGUUAAACAAGUUUGCCUUAAGAAGGCUAGCACAAAAGCAACAUCAAUCGAAAAGCCAAGGCCUCCUGGCUGGGAGCCUCCUAACUACUCCUGGUCGUUGUCGGCCUCCACGUAGUAGUAGGCACCCUCAGUGUAGCAGCAGUCAUUGUCAAAGGUGGCGUCUGGAUCCUGGGCUCCACCAUCUGGUUGCAGCAUCCGAGAAGAAUGGAAAGAGGUGGAAAAAGGGGAGCAACGCAACCGUGAGUACUCAUCCAAAGUACUCGCAAGCAAGGAUCUACACUACAUAUGCAUCGGUAUCAAUGAAAUGGGUAGUAUCUGUGGACUGAACUGCAGCAUUCCAGAAAAGAAGGGGAAAGCUAGCCUAUCAACGACUAGCAUCUUCAAGCAGCUCCAAGCAUCUUGCAGCAAUCAGAAGAGUAUAGAAUAGCAGUUUAUAUUUAACAAACAUGUUGUAGAAAUAAUGCUCAGAGAUCCUUCCCCGACUCCCUGCGGGGAAGCAAUCUCGGGCCACAUAUCCAUUACAUGCCUAAGCAUUCAGUAUCCAGUUCUAGUUGUAUCGAUCGGGAUACAACUCCGAGCAUCCGUUACCGUAGGACAGGCGUCGAUAGAUGUUUUCUUCCCUGCAGGGGCGCACAAACUUACCCAACACGCUCGAUCAUUUUCAUAACUCAUGAAAUGCCGAGUAAGCACGAAUUCCCACAAUUUGCGACCUACCAUGGGAUUCCCACCUCCGAGCAUCCUGUUGGAAUGGAACUAGGAAAGAUUCUUUUGUAACUUCUUGGUAUACCCAUGGAUUGGCUAGUUUCUAUUUGGAAGCUCCGGCCGGACACACCAUCAGGUCAUUACCGCCCUCAGCCGAUCAACACACUGAUACGUCUCCACCGUAUCUACUUUUCCAAACACUUUUGCCCUUGUUUUGGACUCUAACUUGCAUGAUUUGAAUGGAACUAACCCGGACUGACGCUGUUUUCAGCAGAAUCGCCAUGGUGUUAUUUUUGUACAGAAAUAAAAGUUCUCGGAAUGACCUGAAACUCCACGGAGAAUAUUUUUGGAAUUAAUAAAAAAUACUAGCGAAAGAAUUAAGGCCAGGGGACCAACACCCUGUCCACGAGGGUGGGGGCGCGCCCUACCCCCUGGGCGCGCCCCCCUGCCUCGUGGGCCCCUGGUGCUCCAUCGACCUCAACUCCAACUCUAUAUAUUCACGUUAGGGGAGAAAAAAAUCAAAAGGAAGGAUUGAUCGCGUUUUAUGAUACGGAGCCGCCGCCAAGCCCUAAUCUCUCUCGGGAGGGCUGAUAUGGAGUCCGUUCGGAGCUCCAGAGAGGGGAAUCUGUCGCCGUCGUCAUCAUCAACCUUCCUCCAUCACCAAUUUCAUGAUGCUCACCGCCGUGCGUGAGUAAUUCCAUCGUAGGCUUGCUGGACGGUGAUGGGUUGGAUGAGAUUUACCAUGUAAUCGAGUUAGUUUUGUUAGGGUUUGAUCCCUAGUAUCCAUUAUGUUCUAAGAUUGAUAUUGCAAUGACUUUGCUGUGCUUAAUGCUUGUCACUAGGGCCCGAGUGCCAUGAUUUAAGAUCUGAACCUAUUAUGUUUUCAUGAAUAUAUGUGAGUUCUUGAUCCUAUCUUGCAAGUCAAUAGUCACCUACUAUGUGAUAUGAUCCGGCAACCCCGAAGUGACAAUAAUCGGGACCACUCCCGGUGAUGACCGUAGUUUGAGGAGUUCAUGUAUUCACUAAGUGUUAAUGCUUUGGUCUAGUACUCUAUUAAAAGGAGGCCUUAAUAUCCCUUAGUUUCCCAUAGGGCCCCGCUGCCACGGGAGGGUAGGACAAAAGAUGUCAUGCAAGUUCUUUUCCAUAAGCAUGUAUGACUAUAUUCGGAAUACAUGCCUACAUUACAUUGAUGAACUGGAGCUAGUUCUGUGUCACCCUAUGUUAUAACUGUUGCAUGAGGAAUCGCAUCCGACAUAAUUAUCCAUCACUGAUCCAAUGCCUACGAGCUUUUCACAUAUUGCUCUUUGCUUCGUUAAUUUACUGUUGCCACUGUUACAAUUACUACAAAACUACUACUGUUACUUUUGCUACCGUUACCGUUACUUCCAUACUACUUUGCUACUAAAUACUUUGCUGCAGAUAUUAAGUUAUCCAGGUGUUGUUGAAUUAACAACUCAACUGCUAAUACUUGAGAAUAUUCUUUGGCUCCCCUUGUGUUGAAUCAAUAAAUUUGGGUUGAAUACUCUACCCUCGAAAACUGUUGCGAUCCCCUAUACUGGUGGGUUAUCACACACCGUAGUCCUCCCUAGGCUCGUCAGAGAGGCUAGCACGCCAGUCUACAUCCUAAGCGCGCAAGGAUCAUGGGCCCAUCGCCUUUUGCACUCCUGCACAUUGCGUACGCGGCUGGGGAGCAGACCUGGCCCCCGUUAUAUAAGGCGAGGCGUUCCAGUCCAACCCGGCACGCGCCGCUCAGUCGCUGACGUCCGUUGAGCUUUCGGCUGAUACAUACGAUGCAUAGUGCCCAUACUUAUUCACAUGUGGUGGUUAGUGCGAAAAAGGCCAGAGGCCUACUCAGAUCAAAUAUCCAAACCGUUAGUGAAUUAGGAGCGUGUGGUAACGAGCAGAGACUCACGAUCGAUGUGAUGCCGUCGCCCCAUCUCGUGGACUCGCGGGAAGGGCUAAGAAUGCCCGGCUACGCCACGUAGUUAUCUCGUGGGCACCUUCUAGGUCAACCCGACUCCACAUUACUCGCAAAUAUGCUCGCGCAGGUACCCCUCAGGGCCGACCUGACUUUAGUAUCAUGGUUAUGUGGUAAAGCCAUAGUAACCAUGUGUCCAAAACACCUAGGGGAACCCUGAGGAAUCACCCUCGAUGGAAUUCCACCUGAUGUAAUCGUCAAGGUGAACCUAGGAGGAAUCACCCUCGAGGUCCACUCUUGAGGAGUUGCACGAUAGCAUCGUUAUCGGGAGUGGUGAAGGAGGAAUCACCCUCGAUGACCACAACCGAUGACCUAACCUACAAGGUUAACAUCAGAAGUGUUGAUGAGGUAUCACCCUCGGCACUCGAUAGUAACCCAGUAGUGUCAUACAAUAAAGGGGGGUAAUGUGCGGUGUCGGGGCCUGGUUGUCUAUAUCGUUGUCCGAGUCUUCUGAUGAUCCAGCGGGGCAGUAGGGAUAAGGUGGGGGUCACUGAUGGGUCUCUAACCAACCUAUACUAAGCAGUUUAGGAUAAGAAGGUAAGUAUCAACAACAGUUACAAAAACAGGCUAUCCAACAGAAUUAGGAUAAGCAGUAGCAGAAGCAAUUUCUAGUGCAAGCAUAAGAGAGAGAAGAAUGGGCGAUAUCGGAGUGAUCAAGGUGGGGGGGGCUUGCCUGGAAGCUCAGCUACAGAGGAAGAAGGGUCGUCAGAGACGUAGUCGAUCAUAGGGGCAACAUCGGUCUCGGGGUCUACCGAAGAGAAGAGUUGGAAUAAACAAUAAAUAUAGUGCAAACAUAUGCAACACAGAUACAUGACGGGUUAACACGCAGGGCUAGGGGUGUUCUAACGCGGUGCUACACGAUACCGGUGAAGGGGGAUAACAUCUAGGAAAGUUCUCCCGGUGUUUGGCAUUUUCUGACAGUCGAACCGAAGGGGGAAGGUUGCAUGUUGGCUAUGCUAGGGACGUGUGGCGAACGAACGGACCGUGUAUUCGGAUUCGUCUCGUCAUUCGGGGCAACUUUCAUGUACAAAACUUUUUCAUCCUAGGUACGCUUAUUUUUCUACAAUUUAUUAUAGUUUUAAUUGAUUUUCUAAUAUUAUUAUUAAUUCUAAAUAAAUACUAAAAUGCUAAGCGCACCCAGAACAAUGUACACAAAAGUGUACCCAGUGGCUGACAGGUGGGCUAGGGGGUCCUAGUUGACCAGUCAACGUAUACUGGUCAACAGGGGGUGGGCCCCCCUAUCAUAGACUAGGUUUAGUUAGUUAAUAAAUUAAUUAAUUAAUAUUUAUUUAUUUUACUUAUAUAUAUAUAUAUCCCUUUUUUAGGGUAAGGGUCCCGCAGGCCACUGGCUCGCUAUCACAUGCGGGCGAACGAUCGUCGGGGUGUGGGCGAACGGGCGAACCCGCCUAGGCAUCGGCCAGGGCGCAGCCCACCCGUAGCGCAGGGGGAGGCCGCCAGGGCACGGCGGGGCGCCGACAAUGUCUAGGUUGGGGCCGCGACGUGAGGCGCGGCCACGAGGGCGCAACCGCAACAGCAGGUACGAGUAGGGGGUCAGGGCGCGGGGCGGCUAUGACGCUAGUGGGGGAGCGCCGAGCAGGUGGCCGCGACGUUGGGCGGCUGUAGCGGUAGCCUGAGUGGGCGGGGAGGGGAAAAGCGGGGCGCGGCAGUACCGGGGCGCAGCAUGGGCGGCAAAGGAAGAAGGCAGCAGCGGAAGCCGCAGGCCGCUGGCGUGUGGGAAGCGCGGGAAGCGCGACUCACAGGACAGGGGCGCGUGGGCGUGCGUGCGGUGCACGGCCGGGAUGGCGGUCAAUGCAAAGUGUGACAGGGCAUUGCCCAGAGUCAUGGUAGGGACGGUGAGCAUGUGCGAGCACGAAGCUUUGGCCAUGGCGACCGAGCUCGUGGGGAGGAUCUUACGGCGGCGAAUCGAAGCCAAGGAGAACAGGGUUCGGGAGAGCAGCUCACAGUGAGCUUGUAGAUGCGCUUAGAGGGCUCGGGGAGGCUCGGUGGCGACGAAUCAAUCGGCGAAGUCCCUCGGCGUCCGAGGAAGAAGAUGAUGUCUUCAUCGAUGCAGGGGCAUGCACAGCUCCAAGUGGUGCACGUAGUCGACAGAGAAGGAGCCGACGCGUCUAUCGGACAUGGUCCAGGCGGCGGGGGCGACAGUUGAGGCAGGAACGACGACGAACAGCGCGGUGCGCACGAGCUGUCGCGCUCGAGCACGAGCCGAGGAGGAGGCGGCUCGACGGGGAAAGAGAGGGGGUCGGGUGAGGGAUGGUCUAGGGUUUGAGGGGGGCAGGGAGACUCUUAUGUUAGCCCAGAACUACAACGUAGCUGGCUAGUAUCCUCAGGAACGAACUACGGUAGCCAAGCACUCACGGAAGCAACACACACGUACUAGCAGAGUAGAGCUCACUUGAUUCUACACUGAACAUGCACACACACAUGAGAGAGGAGUACUACUUGAGCUGCCUUGUAGUGAAAUUGGAAUGGCCUGAGUUACAACCCAGGGUGUGAGGCUCCUUAUAUAGGACAGCCGAACCGACCUAAGCAAAAUAUCAGCUAGCAGUGAGGUAAGCACUUGCGUCACUAGCUAGCUUACCAAGCAAGCUACGUUUCUACUACUACUAAACUUCACUAGUAAGGCAUGCAGCCUUUGUUGCUGCCGACAUGCAUACUACAAGCUAGUAAGUAAAUACUGCUACAGCUACAUGCAUGUUGUGCCGCUACAUGCAUGUUGUAGACCAUCCGGAGACCAAGGUUGACUCAACAAUCUCCUCCUCAACCUUGUCGAAGGAGCUUGAUGUCGAUGAUGCCGACCUUCUCGCACUGCUCCUGGAAUCAGACAUGACCAAGUGCCUUCGUUGGGAUGUCCGCCUUCUCAGGCUAUGUAUGGCCCGUACACCCUGCUCGCGCUUCUUGAUCUCGGGUGCUGCGAUCGUCUCGCAGGCUCGAGAAGGUUCCUCUAGUCUUCGGAACCUGUGUGGAUCGCCACCAUUUUUUGUUGGCAUCGAACAAGUCCGACCGCGCUGUUGGCGGGGACAUGAACUGCCCGGGAACCACCUCGCUCGUGGGCGUCAGUGUUCCUGGGGUCGUAGUUCCUGAUGUCACACUGCCCAGGAACUCCUUUCCCGGGGUCGUCGUGUUGGACGUCAUGCUACCCAGGAACUCCCUUCCCGGGGAUGACUUGUUGGACAUCGCACUACCCAGGAACUCCCUUCCUGGGGUCGUCGUGCCGGACACCGCACUGCCCGGAAACUCCCUUCCCGGGGUCGUUGUGCCAGACGCCACACUGACCGGAGUGGCUCCUCUCAGGGUAGUGGAGUCCUUGGUGCUCUUCCCAUCAGGCUUGCUUGUCGGGUCUCCCUUGACUAUCGUGAGUCGUGCCUCCCGCACGGACUCGAUGGACCCCGAGUGCGUCGGGGUUGUGGCGUGGCCGACCAUAGAGCACCGUGCCUCCUGCACGGUCUCGACGGUCGCCACCAGCGUAGCCGGGUCGUGCCCAACUACAGAGUCCCGUGCGUCCCGCACGGACUCGAUGGACCCCGAGCGCGUCGGGGUCGCGGCAUAGCCGACCAGAGAGUGUUGUGCCUCCUGCACGGACUCUAUGGUCGCCGUAGUCUCGGUCGAGGCCUUGCCACCCCAUGACCGUCUCUUCAUUGCCUCCAAGUUGAGACUUGUUGAAGAGUGCCGUGUCGGCCACACGGGCUUGCAGAACCCCGAGAACCUGGUUGUCGGGGUGUGGCCGACCUGAGAAUGUCGUGCCUCUCGCACGGGCUCACUGGUCGCCAGCAUCAUGGUCGGGACAUGGCCCACCAGAUGCGUCGUUGUCGUGCCUCCUGACACGGGCUUGUCGGGUCCCGAGGAUGUCGGGGACACCUUUGCCGUGCCAACUUGCACGGGCUUGACCAGCGUCGCAGGGGACGUGGUUUCCGGGGUGUGGCUCCCCCACACCCGGGUCUUCAUCUCCUCCCAAUCGUAGCCUCCCGAGAACGUUGUUGCCGAGGAGAGCGCUACCGAUGUCGGGAGGGGAUUACUUGAAGAGCUCCAUGCCUCCCGCAAGGACUUAACGAUUGCCGGCACCGUGGUCUCCGGAGGUGAUGCGCCCUCCUGCACGGCUUCGAUGCUUGUCGGGACCAUGGUCUCCGGAGGCGCUAUGCCCUCCUGCAUGGUCUCGACGCAAGCCAUCAUCAUUGCUGGCCCACCGUCCUCUUCAGCCUCGACGAGGUUCGCCGCAGCCGUGGCAUCCUCGUCAGCCAUCCUGUUGCGGCACUCACGGGCCCAGUGGCCCUUGAUGCUGCAAUAUCGGCACUUGUCUCGGUCGUCGUUGCCGGCACCUCGUCCGGCUCCACCCUGGGUGCGACCGCCGUCUCUGCCGGUGCCGCCUCCGCUGCUCUGGGCACCGCCACCACGUCCUUGACGCUUCCUCGCCUCCCACUUCUUCGAGAAUAGGAGUUGUCCGCCGCCGAAGCUCUCGCGGCCGUCAUCAAGGCGGUCCUCGACCACCCGCAACCGGCCCGUGAGCUCCUCGAUGGAGAGCUCGCUCAGGUCAAGCAAAGUCUUGAUGGAGACCGCUACCUGAGCGAAACGAGGUGGAACGACGCGGAGAAAUUUCCGCACGACUCUCACGUCGUCCAUGGUGUCGCCGAGUGCGCGGAGCUUUGACGCAAGGCUGGAGAUUCGCAUGGCAAAGUUGUCGACGAGCUCGCCCUCCUUGAAGGCGAUGUUCUCGAAGUCCGCCCGCAGCUUCUGCGUGUUCGCCUCACGCACGCGGUUGCUGCCGAGGCGCUGGGUACGGAUGGCUUCCCACGCCUCCUUGGCGCUUGCCUUCGCCGCGAGCAUGCUGUGCAUCUCCGGCGGCGUGGCGCGCAUGAGUGCCGCCACGGCUUUCCUGUCCUCCUUUCUCUCGACCAGGUCGUCCUCCAUGGGAGCCCAGAGGCUCGCCGCAUGAAGGUUGCACUCCAUGAUCAACGCCCACUCGCUGUAGUUCGAGCGCGUGAGCAUCGGGAAGGUGAUGGGCACGCUACCGCUGAUUGCGGUCUCGCGCACGAUCUCCCUAACCACGACCUCACCGCGAUGGCCGCGCCUGGAGCGGCUGCGCCCUCGCCGCUCCUCCGGAGCCGGCGACUGGGAACCACCCGAGGUGGUGCGUUGCUGCACUCCUUUACCACCGGCCAUGGCUACCACAACCAGAGGCUCUGAUGCCAAUUGUUAGCCCAGAACUACAACGUAGCUGGCUAGUAUCCUCAGGAACGAACUACGGUAGCCAAGCACUCACGGAAGCAACACACACGUACUAGCAGAGUAGAGCUCACUUGAUUCUACACUGAACAUGCACACACACGUGAGAGAGGAGUACUACUUGAGCUGCCUUGUAGUGAAAUUGGAAUGGCCUGAGUUACAACCCAGGGUGUGAGGCUCCUUAUAUAGGACAGCCAAACCGACCUAAGCAAAAUAUCAACUAGCAGUGAGGUAAGCACUUGCGUCACUAGCUAGCUUACCAAGCAAGCAACGUUUCUACUACUACUAAACUUCACUAGUAAGGCAUGCAGCCUUUGUUGCUGCCGACAUGCAUACUACAAGCUAGUAAGUAAAUACUGCUACAGCUACAUGCAUGUUGUGCCGCUACAUGCAUGUUGUAGACCAUCCGGAGACCAAGGUUGACUCAGC